rnacentral:rRNA from 1 species
UACGGAAGGGGCGAGCGUUGUUCGGAAUUAUUGGGCGUAAAGGGCGUGUAGGCGGCUUCGCAGGUCUGUGGUGAAAGGAUACAGCUCAACUGUAUUGAGCCGCGGAAACGGUGGAGCUUGAGGCUGGGAGGGGCUGGUGGAAUUCCCUGUGUAGCGGUGAAAUGCGUAGAGAUGGGGGGGAACACUCGUGGCGAAGGCGGCCAGCUAGACCAGUUCUGACGCUGAGACGCGAAAGCGUGGGGAGCAAACAGG